UCAGGAGAUGCGGGGAGAUACGUAGGGAAUAUGCGGAGCAGAAACCAGAGAUUUGAGUUGAGACGAUCCUCGGUUGGAUUGUGUUUUUCUCGCAUGAGGAAAAGAGGAUUUCGUGACUUGCGUGUCACUGGGCCGGGAUAGUGGUCACGGGGAGGAAGUUAGUGGGACACUUGGGUCAUGAUAUGGGUGACGUUGGGGGCUCAGCUGUGGAGCCAAAAGCUGACCUGGUACUCAGUCUUGAAGAGGAAUAUGAGAAAGGAGAUUAUCCUGAUGACAUCUAAGGACAUUUUAGAGAGAGUGAACGAUUCAGACGCUCGAAGACAUGCUUCGGGCAUAUGUAUUAGAUUUCGGAGGAAGCUGUGGCACGUAUUUAUCCUUGGUUGAGUUGUUCCAUAACAACAACCAUCAUUAGUGCAUUGGUAUGCCGCCCUUUGAGCUGUUGCAUAGGAGGGGGUAUCAGACCCUCAUUUGCUGAGGAGAGGUAACACAUGGACCCGAGAGUCCUUGCGAGCAGAUCCGGAGCAUGUGCGAUACAUGGAGUAGUGGCAAGGUCGUCAAGCGGAUUUCCCUAGGCAAGGGAAGAGAAAGGUAUGUUGGGGCUAGGGCAGUAUGUGUAUGCGAUUGCAAGAGGAGAACUCGUGAGAGUUGCCCUGAGAGUGAGAAUGGGUCUCUUAGUCGUUCCGAAAUGGAUACAGUGGGCUUUGGAUCGGGAAUCCGGUGAUUCAUGGUUUCCUAACCCUUAUGGGUCGAGUGAUCGUUGAGAUUUGGAGCAGAAUUGCAUCGUGGGUAAUUCNAGGUAGAUAGAGAAUGAUUGGGCGGCCAACUCCCGGGGUCGGUAUGCGUAUCCUUGUUUGGAUUUUGAGCGUCGGGAAAAAAAAAGGGUUUCGGAGAAUUAUCAGUAUAUUUCGUAGCGUCAGCGUUUCUCGUAUUCCAAUCGAGAAAUUAUAUGCACCGAAGUUGUAAUGUGGGAAAAAUGUAGAUCUAAUUAUGGGGUUCAGAGGAGAUGUAUUAUUGUGUCUAUAUGAUGCUUGGGGCAGGAGAUCAGUGGUUGUGGCAGGAUCUUGUGAUGUUUUGUUGGGGUAUUCUGAGAUAUCCAGAUAUGAUAUCUUUAAUUCGGAGUUACUUGUGAAUCCUGAAUUGAAUCAACGUGUGGCAUAUCAAGUAUCUGUGAAUCUAGUGGGAGCCCUUCGAGUAUGGGCAUCCAGGGAGAUUAUUUGAGAGAGUGGGUUUUCGCAAAGAUGGGCAUUUGUUAUGUUGAUUGCCUACAGAGUUGGUGAUGGAUAUUCGAGCCGUAGUACUCCCUACUCAGGGGGUGUUGUGAUGCUGCGUGGAGUUGCAGUACUCACUAGAUGGCAAGAGAAUUUCGAUGUUGGAAUGUUUUUCGAGCAGUGCAGGAUGUGGAAGAGUUGGGUUUGAGUAGCCCUGGUAUUGACUCCUUGGAGCUUGGAUGUUGAGUCUGGGGCGAGACGGGGGUCUCCGUCUCUGUCAGGAGAUGCGGGGAGAUACGCAGGGAAUAUGCGGAGCAGAAAUCAGAGAUUUGAGUUGAGACGAUCCUCGGUUGGAUUGUAUUUUUCUCGCAUGAGGAAAAGAGGAUUUCGUGACUUGCGUGUCACUGGGCCGGGAUAGUGGUCACGAGGAGGAAGUUAGUGGGACACUUGGAUCAUGAUAUGGGUGACGUUGGGGGCUCAGCUGUGGAGCCAAAAGCUGACCUGGUACUCAGUCUUGAAG
rnacentral:lncRNA from 1 species